ACCUGGGAGGCUGCAAACUGUGGAAGCUGUACGCACAGUGUAGCAGACUAGUGGUUAGAGGAGACCCCUCCCAUGACACAACGCAGCAGCGGGGCCCGAGCACUGAGGGAAGCUGUACCUCCUUGCAAAGGACUAGAGGUUAGAGGAGACCCCCCGCAAACAAAAACAGCAUAU
rnacentral:lncRNA from 1 species